UACGUAGGGUGCGAGCGUUGUCCGGAAUUACUGGGCGUAAAGAGCUCGUAGGUGGUUUGUCGCGUUGUUCGUGAAAACUCACAACUCAAUUGUGGGCGUGCGGGCGAUACGGGCAGACUGGAGUACUGCAGGGGAGACUGGAAUUCCUGGUGUAGCGGUGAAAUGCGCAGAUAUCAGGAAGAACACCCGUGGCGAAGGCGGUUCUCUGGGACGGUACUGACGCUGAGACGCGAAAGCGUGGGGAGCGAACAGG
rnacentral:rRNA from 1 species